UUCGGCUUAAUGUAACAGGUUGCUGCUACGAGCCACUGAAAAACUCGUGACUGUCUUCUCAACAAAGCGAGAAAGAAGAGGAUUGAGCUGUUUCAGGUGGCUGGUCUUACUUUUUGGCGAGAUUCUCGAAUGGGUAAUUCCACUCCCCGGACGCAACUUGACAUUUUGGACCGAUGGCCAGGGCGGCCGACGAAACGCUCGUGCUGUAGAUCGCGCCCACCAGACCGAACGCCGAGGAGAACACGGAGUUCAGCAUCUGCAGCGAGCACACACACAAGCACAGACAAUCACGCUCACGCGUGUGACCCGUCAGGCUUUUUACGUUUCCUCCCCCAAAAAUCUCCACAUAAAUGGCAAAUACGCAACCAACAGUCACGUCACAGCGAUUACUGGUGCUUUGUUUGUGAGUCUACACCACAAUACAGUAAUAAUAAAUAAAUAAAUAAAUACAGCUCAAGGUGGUAACAUUUGGCAAUUGACUCAUGGACAAAACAAAUAGUAUGUUUGUUGUGAAUUAAAUAUGUUGGGGGGGGAAAUCAUCAUUUACAAUCAGUAAUCACUCGCUCUGCUACUUGGUACAAUGGAAUGUAUUUAUUAAAAACACACCAUACAAUAUUGAAUAUAUGUAAGUGAAUAAACUAGUAAACAAUA